rnacentral:lncRNA from 1 species
UAUAUAUAAAAAAUACACAAUUCAUCCAUCAUACAAACUCACAAAGCAUAAAUAGACAAAAAAAAAUUGCUAAACAACAUUGCAAAACUACAUUUACAAAAAAAAAAAAAAAACAUUGCAAAACUAAUCAUUAUUCAUAUCUCCAUGAACACUGCUUGUCUUUCUCCAUGGACUUGGACGACUUCCAACUUCUUAUGUCAACAAUGCAAUAAGUAUGCCAAAAUCAAACCUGAACAAAAUCAACAUAUCCAUAAUAGUUUAAACAUAAGAAACAGAAGAGAUAGUGGAAUCAGAGAGGAUAAUUAUAGAGAUUUUCAUGUUUUCACCUGGUAGCAACAUUGGUGGUGUCUAAGAUUGUAAAUUCUUCCGCCAAUGACUCGAAUGCCACAGUUCCCUACAGCCAUAACACUUACAGAGUUAUGAUCAUCAUUGCUCAAGUUCUACAUGCUGAGAGCAAAAAAAAAACAAAAAGAGGAGAGGAGAUGAUCUUCUCAAAUUCUACGAGAUUACAGAGAGAGCAAGAAAAUAAGAAGAGAGGGGGAGCAAGAAAAUAGGAGAACAUGGUUAGAGAGAAAGAGGGAACGAAAUUUCAGGGAUUCGUUUGUUGAAUACUCUCAAAUCUAAGUAAAUCAAUUUAGGAGAAAAGAAAAUAAAAUUACAGAGGGAAACAAAUAUAAUCUUAUUGAACAAAAAUAAUAACAUUGAAAAAUAAAAAUAAUAAUAAUAAAAUUGAACAUAUUUUAGUAAGUAAUAUUAAUAAAAAAUGAUAUAAUUAUAUAAUUGAUAUAAAUUCAUGUAACAUUAUUAUUUUGUUAAAAUGAUAUAAAUUAAUAGUUAUUAUAUCAUUUUACUGAACUGAUGUUAAGCUAAUUAAUAAUAACGUUAGUUAUUAUAAGUAAUGUUAAAACGAUAUAAAUUAAUUAUUAUAGAUAUCUAUUUUUUCAUCAUUUCACUGAACUGAUAUAUAUGUUAUGAUAUAGUUUUAUGUUAAUAACAUUGAAUAUUCU